rnacentral:lncRNA from 1 species
AUUGAAUUAACGUGGAGACUGAAAUGACUGUUUCCCUCCAAGGUAUAGAAUCCAGUUCUUUGGCCAGAAGACCUCUAGACUGUUGGUACAUUGACAAGGAGACAUCAGGGGAAUAAUCACAUUGGACAAAGAAAGCAUCCAUGUUUACCAAACGCCUUAGACAGUCAAGGUACCAAGGGAAGUUGACUCUUUACAGUGUGUCUAUAGGGAAAAGAUGCUUCUCUGUGUAGGAUAUUGGCAUUAUCAUGGUGCCAGGAACCGAUUUUGCAGAGCCUGAUUGCCAACUGCACAUCCGCCCAAGGGAUAACUUGCCAAAACCGGUCAAAUUUCAAAGAGCGCAACACUUUGAAGAAAGGGGAAACUGCAGAGUAGAGGACAAAGAAAAUGUGAAUCAUUUAUUUAAGAAAACAGCAAUGGGGCAAAAAGUAAGGUCACCAUUAGACAGGACUUUGGUCCAGAGCAGAGAUUUGAUUCUCCAUACCUUCCAAAGUGAUUGUAUUUCUUUUAGAUUUUUUCAUUGAAAUAUCUGCCUGGCUUAUACAAACAGCCACAUUUCUGCACAUCCCAGAUUCUAUAAAAUCAUUUCACCAUUAGAAAUUAAUGGAUUCCCUUAUUCUGACAUUAUGUUUCUCGGGGCAGCGAAUUCCUCAGAGAGAUCAAGACUAUACUUUAAAACAUUGGUCUGAGUUGUUUCUAAGAAUAUUAAGAGUUGAGAAGACAGAAAACUCAGGUGGAUGAUGGUGAACUUCAUUGUCUUUUUUCGAUUGUUGCACAAAGAGUUAUCCAGAAAACUUGGAAAAUUGCAUAUUUUCUUGUUCCUCUCUGAGAGAUGCAGAUUCCACAAGCCUGAGGUGGGAGUUAGGAAUCUGCAUGUUUAAUCACUAUGCCAAUAGUGUAUAGAACAUAUUUUGAGAAUCAUUGGUCCAGCAAGGAGUGGGAAUUGUUUUCUUCUGUUUACCAUAUUUAGAGGCCCAUGCAUGAUAAUAUACGGGCUUAUUUUUCUUAAUGCUGAAGAUUGUGGCAUAUCAUUCACUCCGCCAAAUAACGUAUCAAAGAAUGAACUUAAGUGAAAGGGGUUCAUAGGAGGCAAGAGAGAAAAAUUACAAGAGCGCAGUGGGAGGUACGGAAAGCACUUUGACCAGGGAAUGGAAAGCAGUGUCCCACUUCAUGCUGUACUCCAUCAGAUUCUGAAACACAUUAUGUUUUAGUCUGGAGCAAUGUGAUUCAAAAGUCUCUAAAGAGAACUAAGGACAAGUUAUUAGAAUAUUCUCAUUUUGUAGACAUUUAAUUGACAUUAAUGAACACUUGCAAAUAAAAGAUAAUAAUGUAUUUUAAGGUCCA